AUGAAGAGCUGUUGAAGGUGUUCCUGAGGAGAAUGUAGCUGAAGGCACAGUCCAAAGAAGGAGGACUGUGAGACCCUAAACUUGAUGGAUAAGCUAUGGGCUGGGAAGGCCAGGACUUAAAACCACAAUCCCAACUAGGAGGAUUAUGAACUCUAAAUAUGAGAGCAGCCCAGCUAUUAAGGAUCUGCUUCUGUUACACCAGAGAGUAAUUUAGCCAGAGACUAUAGCUGUGUAACUCCGUCAACAUCAGUGGACUUAAAUCGAAAGAAUUCGGCUCUGGGCAUGUGUGUUUUAUUCUCCAUAAGGUUCCAUUUACAUCUAGCAAGUCAGAAUCGCAACAGAAACAAGUAUUUCCUCAUGGAGUUACAUCAUGUGCUCCUCCAACAGAUGUUGGAUGAUGGUGGCCACUGUGCAAGGAGAUGGUCUCAGUCUAGUUUCUGCUGCAGAAAUGAAUCCCUGUCACUAAACCAACACCACAACUGGAAUUUGUCAUUAGAGAGGCCAACAACUGAAUGUACCAUGGAGACUGAAUUCCUCUCUCAGCCCAAGAAGUGUCCCCUAUGGAUUAAGACUGACACAGAGAUGUAACGUGGAGAAGCUUGCACUGCCACUGACUAUAGCACACUUGUUCCGUGGAUUAAACAGAACUCUAGUCUCCAGAACUGUCAAUACUUACACUCUUUAAUUGGUCACCUUUCACAAGCACAAAAACAGCUAGGAGGUCAAGAGAGGCUAAGGUAGAGGAAAGCCAUUCCUUGCAAAUACAGCACAGUCUAUGGUAUAUUAUUACAAUGACGUCAUAUUUUCACAGGGACCCAAAGACAUGUAUUGCGUAGUUCAUGGGUUUGAUCUCCACCAGGCCAGUUCUUGCCUGUUUUCUUUUACACAACUGUCAGUUAAAACGAAGCAGAAACAUUUGUAUAUCCCUGUCCGUAAUGAAUUCAAAUAGGGCUUGUAUUUACAGUAAGAUUAGAAAUGAAAGCUGCUCCUCCGAUGACUUUAAAAAUGUCUGAAAAUAUGGACAUGACUGUAAUUAAAGUCAGUGCUGCUAGAUUCCCAGGCAAGCUGACAGCCCCAGGUAGAUUGCACCAGGAAUCCUGUGCUGCUGUUUAUAUUAAUGUCCAUCUUCCUUUACCUCUCACACUUUCACUGCUUUCUGCCAGAUGGCUAUUAAUGUUUACAGGACUACAGACAAUUAUACCUGUCAAGGGCAUGCCAAAGUAUUUAGCAUUUAUGGGUUUUGGGAGAUUACAUUCUAAAUAUUAAAAGCAGACAGAAAAAUGGCAGCCCUCCCUCUCAGGAUCCUCAUUAGAUCACUGCUUUGUACUGCUACGGGGAUGCUCUUGAGGUUCACAGGUGUAAAAUUUGAUCACCCUCCUCCACCAAACAAUCACUCCCCUCCCCCACAACUUUUGUCGCCACCUAGCCCUGGGCAAAGGGGGCGCUAAACCAUUCUGCUCUGGUGAAGUCUUGCACCCACUUUGUACAGAUGUAAAUGGAUAAGAAGAAUUAAGAACAUAGGUUUUUGCUUUCAGUUUGUUUCUCUGAUGUAGAUAUAAGAUUUUCACCUGCCAAGGAAAAAAUGGUAUGGUUCAAUGUGUGUUCAUCUUUCUUUCUUUCUGAAACGUACUGGCCUAAUACCCAGGAGAGUGGUGGCCUUUAUUUCAGGAACAUUUGCAACACAACAGUGAUAUUGGAAUGUAAGUCUCCUCCAAGCUAGAGAGAGAGAGUGUCUCUUGAGAUGUGAGGGAAUUUACCUCAGUAUCCAUAGCCAUUGAGUGCUUGGCUUCCUGAAGAGAUAGGAAGUAUAGACUAGCAACAACACAGUGAACCUGACAAUGUUCAAAAGAAACAAACUGAAAAAAUAGCGAAAUUUUCUUUUUUCUCUGAUCUCUUUCAGUUGUAAUGCCUUUAGGGGUUCCUCUUAACAUCAAUAGGCACAGAGAUUUCCUAGAGUGUCCCUUUAAAUUCAUUUACUUUUUCCUGGGGCCUUACAUCAAUAGUGAAUUUAAAAGCCCAAGAGCUUCUGUUAUAUUUAGCUGCUUUCCUCUGAAGUAUACAUGGUGAAGGUGUGGCUACAAAUUGAGGGCAGCUUUUAAAUGAAAAUCAAUGAUGUUUAAGGAUGCAGGGAAUAUUUCUGACAGAUUAUAAAGUAGGAAAUUAUAUAGGGGCCUUUCAGAUUUCCAUUGCACACUUGUGUUUUCAAAGAUAAAUAGAUUUGAUUUGGGGGGCAAUUGAGAGAGGUAGUGCAAUCCAGUGGGCAGCUCGCUGGACUGGGAUACAAGAAACCUGGGUUCUAAUCCCAGCUCUGUCACUGACCUGCCAAGUCAUUUUGAGCUGUCUCUUCUCUACUUAGAUUAUAAAUGUUUCAGGGCAGGAGCUGUCUCUCACCAUGUGUUUUUACAGCCCCUGGCACAAUGGGGCCCAGAUCUCAAUUGUAGUGCUACUGUAAUCAUCAUCAUCAAAAUAGCUUCUUCUUGACAUUUUGCAGAAUACUGUUGUGUUCAUCUGAUUUCCAGGCAAACCUAUGAAUCAGCUCCAGACUUACUCAAAAUUCAGCUCAGACUCAUUGGAAACUACCCCCAAAGUUUGUAAACCGGACCCAAGUUCCUGGUAUUAAGGAAGGGUUUCUUUUGGAAAGUUUAGCAUAGAUCUAAGUGAUGAUCCAAAGUUGGAUGGAUCAAAUUCAAGUCCUGUCAUAUGCAGGUGUAACUCCUGUUUAAACUCUCUGGGAACUGUGUGCAAUGAUGGCCAAAUAUCAUCAAAGACGGUAUGAUCUUUAGUACCAGGCAACACGCCUGUACUUGGGGACAGUUGCUGCAUUUCAGGCUUACUUCUGAAUGUGCUCGCUUUUGUAUGGCAAAGUCAGAUUCUUAUCAUGGGUUUGAUUGUUAGGGAUACUUUUCUGAUGGCUUCAUUUCUUAUUAACAGCACAUAGCUCUUCUAUGUCACCUCGCAGCCAAGGAUCAAAGCACUUUAUAAGCAUUAUAGAUCUGAUCCAAAAUGCAGAGAAGGCAGCGGAAAGAUGCCCAUUAACUUCAAUGGGCUUUGGAUUGGGCCCUAAAUAAUUAAGCCUCACAAUACCUCUGCCAGGAAGUCAAAUUUAAAUAAGACUCGUGUUCAAUCCAAAGGCAAGAGCCUAUUUCCUUGGCCUUAUGAAACCAGGAUAAAAACAUUCACAGCAAAAUGUUAAAAUUUCCCUUGGCCUUUCCAGCCAAGCUGCAACCAGGUUAGUCAUAAAACAGCUGUUGGAUCUUUGUAAGCUGUAGGCUGUUUCGUGCCACUCAUAGCACUGUCAUGCAAGAGGUAGAGGUUAGAUCCUCAGCUGGUGCAACUCAGUGUAGCUCCAUUGACUGUGGUUGAGCUAUGCCCGUUAACACCAUCUGAGGAUCUGGCCCUUAUAGCUUACUCAUUCAUUGAGUGUUUGCCCUCCUACAUCCAAGGAGGAAGGUCAAAAGGGGCUGUGGGGAGGGGAUGUCUCUCUGACAGUGGCCUUGAGAAAAACAAAAAAGGAACACCAAACAAAAAAGGCCGAUCGUUAAAAUGUACUUCUCCCCCGUGCCCCUUCCACAGCUGUCCUGGAGAAGCCCCCGUGAUGUAAAAGUGUAUCACACAGGGAGAGAGGAGGUUAGCCCACCUUGUGAGAGUGGGGUCCCCAAAAAAACAAUUUCUCUGACACUAAUGUAGUUAAAGAAUAAAGGGGCUCAUUACUGAUUCCUGCACGUAUUCCCUGACUCCCUCCGCAGGCAUACGGGCUCAGCUACGAAAGCAUUUCCAGGAGUCUCGUGUUGAUGUCAGUGAGCCAGGUUUUUCCCUCAGAAGGGCAUGUGUCUCCCGCAUCGGGCCAAAUUCAGCUCUCACUUACACUGGUGUAAAUUCAGACUGACUCCAUUCUUUUCAUGCAAUGGGCGAACAAGUACGUUAUUGAAUUAAAUGGAGUUCACAUAAAGGAUUACUCCAGACUUAACUGAGAACAGGAUCUGGCUUAUUCAUUCCCCCAGAUCCCUCCCCACUGCAUCCUUGCUUAUCCAGUACUCAGCUUGGGAACAAUGGGUCAGAUUUGCUGAUGAAACCAAAAUCCAUUUGCAAGUUUCUAUAGAAUUCCACCUCCCUAGAGGAAAUAGAGCAGCGCGGUGCUGUGGCUGUGUUCACUUUUCAGGAAGUGCCAUCACUCUAAAUAGUGAGGGCAUCUUCCAGUGUUCAUAGGGCAAUUAAUAAGAUUGAGUCAGACAAGGUCAUUGGUUUGGAGGAUAAGAUGCUGCACAGAUGGUCCAACCAUAGUUAUUCACCAAAACGGAGUUUUCUCUGCCCAGUUCUCCAGGGUAUACCCGGUCAGUGGGGUAAGUUAAUAACAUCAUAUGAAUGUGAAUAAUCAUUUCAGGCAUUGCAGUGUCAGCGUGACAGAGGCGUCGUGAUUACAUCAGCGAAUGAGUGCAUGUUGGCCCUACCAGCUGCGCACCAUACAAAACUCAAGAGUAGGAGGGAGGGGAGGGUUCAAGGACUCUCAGACUUCUUUGCAGAGGUUUGAUAUCAGUCGAAUUGGCCUUAGCAUAAUACAUUUGUCUGAUCUGAAAAUACAGAAUCCAAUUCUGAUGAGAUUUGAAUGGAGACUGAACUGAAAUACACUAACAUCUGUCUGUCUGUUUUAGGGUUUUGUACUGCUAUUCAUCAUUGUAAUAUCUAGCACCUUCCAUAUAAAAUAGAUUAGCAAUAGCAAAAUCCUUAGUGGACUCCUGGAGUCUCUCGCUCUGCUCUCUUUUCAGGUUAUAGAGGUGCAAGGUCUCGUUUCCCGGGAUGGGAGGGGAAGAAGGGAGUGGUGGAUGUUGUGAAUGUCAUUCUGGUCCUGGUAGGAAAGCGUUAUCAAAGAGGAAGCUUAUGUAGCAUUUCCUAAAGGCAGUCAGACUGUGGCUUCAUCUAACCUCCUCUGGAGGUUCAUCUCACAGCUGAGGUCCCCUCAGCUGAGAGCUUUUUCCCAGCUCUCUGGCACUUUGUUCUGAGUUCUGUGAUCUGCCUUGUCCCAGAUGAGCAAAACUGUCUUGGCGGAUCCUAGAUGGAGACAUGGUCUCUAAUGUAGCUGGGACUUGAUCCAUUAAUAACUGAACAUUAGGACCGAGCUCUUAAAAGCAGCAGUGGAAGCUGACUGAGAACCAGAGGAGGGACCAUUGCACAGACUGGUCGAGCUCAUGGCAGCCUGACCUCUGGAGGAGGGGGGGGGGCUGUAUUUUGCACAAGCGGGAAGCUGUGUAUUUUUUUUUCUCCAGUUACAGAGCAUUACAGUAAUCCAGUCGGGAGGUGACAAAGACACUUACGUAGCACUUUUCAUCUGUAGGUCUAAAGUGCUUCACGAAGGCCAAUAAGUAUCACUAUCCCCAUUUUAACAGCUGGAGAAACUGAGACCCAAUGCCAGUGUAGGCCACAUUUUUAAAAGUGGCUUCUAAUCUUUGGUGUGUCAGUGUUUGGCUGCCUAGAUUUAGAUUACUUGCACCUGAUUUUCAGAUGGGUUGAGCGCCUCUAUCUCCACGCCUAUUGAGCUUCUCAACCUCUCUGUAUUCAUAGGCUUUUGAGAGAGGGCAGGGAGAUUCAUGAAGGAACACAUACUUCUGGGGUGUAGGUAUCAAUAGUCACUGUGGUACUAAUGUUCUCGAUGGGCGGAUUGAUUCAAUUAAAUACAGAGUCUAAUUCUUUCUACCCGUGUAUUUUCCUUGGCACUAUUUGCAUUUAUUUUAUUGUGCACUUAGUGUUAGGCACAUGAAUACAUUCUUAAACAGAAGUUUUUAAAAUAAGUUCCUCCUUCACUUACCUGCCAAGAGCUGGUCCUAUAGGGUUCUGCUGCAGCUAACAUCUGUUGCACUGAAGACAGUGUAAGAAACUCAUCUCUGGCACUACUUUCCGUGGCAUGAAUGGUGUAAUUGGUUGUUACAGGAAAACAACAAGCUCAGGUCUUAGCAGGUAAAAACAAAAACAGAAAUUCCUUUCAGUUUUCCUUUACAAUGUAAAUGGGGGGGAAAAAGUGGGGACAUGGGGGAAUUAGUCUGCAAAAAGAUUGGUUUCAAAUUCAGGCUCAGUGUGAGUUUCUGAUAGAGGUUCUGAUCAGUUCUUAUUCCAGCCUAACUGCUUGGAUCCUGCCCUGUAGUGGUGAAAUUCUCUUACCUCUGAUCUCUGCCUAGUAUUUGAGGGCUGGAGCCUGCUCUUAGCUACACUGGUGUAAAUCAGAGUAACUCCACUGAAGUGAAUGAAAGAAUGGAGCUGACUUCAGGGGAGUUACUCCGUUUCACACCAAUGUAACACAGGGCGGAAGCUGGCCCCUUAGCUUUCCUUGGAGAAACAGGACUCUGUAAAGCUCCC